GAAGGGCUGUACUUCUCCUUACCAUCAAAAGAAGCUGGGAAAGUAAUCAGGAUUUUCGGGAGAAGUGGUGAUUAUCUCGAAUCCAUCGGAGCACAAAUCAAGCCAUGCUAUCCCCACAAGCGUGUGGGGCUACUUAGGUCGGAAAGUGCGUCAAAGUGGGAUGAUCAGUGUACGCACACCAAUGUAAGGAAAAUCACUGUGGAACAUAAGUCAAAGAGAAAGCGAUCCGUCCAAUCAAUCAAGAUUCAAUACGAAGAUGAGAAUAACAAAUUGUUGCAUUCGGAGACAUAUGAUGGCAGUAUUGCAAAAAAGAACUUCAAGUUAAGGAAGAAGACCACCCAAACGAUCGAAAUACGUGAACCAGAUGGGCAUUCGACUUCAAUAUCCGGGUGUACGUGUCAACCAGACAGAGAAACGAUUAGAGGAACCAUGUCUUCUACUUCUCAUCAAUGG